ensembl:lncRNA TUBA1B-AS1 TUBA1B antisense RNA 1
AGUGAGGGCUGGAAGAGUCCGCGCGCGCGUCCACCCAAGGCGGAGUAAGGGCAUGCGCUGGAAAGGACUGCGGGGACUCGAGGGACCGCACCCAGGACACAGUUACGCGACAAAAGAGAGCUCCGGAUACGGCGGAGGGCAGCCCGAGCCCCCCAUCCCUUCCAGAGUCCGAGAAGAAAUCCUGGCGCCCCUCGACCUUUCCGGGCCCCCGCUAUUUACACACACCGAGGUCUCACCACUCCCGCCCUGGCCUCUCGCCUCGUUUUCCGCCCUCCAAACGGACGGCUCUGAGGCCAGCCCUUCCCGGCUGUAUACAGGGCCCCAGCGCCCCGCCGGCUCGCUUUUCCCUGCUUCCCUGAAAGCAGCCGGGAGCCGCACGGCUUACUCACCAUAGUGGCUAGGGAUUAGGAGGCGAAGGCGACAGGAGCAGACACCGGGUCCCGGUUACCGUCCCCGACAAGCUAAGAGUCGAGUCAGCUCCUGACAGAAGAGGUUCAGUGAGGGCGAACCCCGCCCAGUGGCUCCAACGCCAUAGAAGCCAGAAACAAACAACCCCGCCCCUGCGCCGCCCUGACACCCGCUGCCGGGGGCUCCGGCAGAAACUCACCAUGUUUUCCCGGGAAUGUGUGGGUAUCUUUCCAAAACGCCAAAGACCGCGGAGGGUCUUCCCACGCU